rnacentral:lncRNA from 1 species
GAUGUAAAGAAGGAGGAAUAUUUGUCAGAUAGAGAGAAUACCGGUUCAGAUGGUUGGUGGCUCAGAUAGAGGUGGGGUUUGUUCCAGCCAGCAGCCCGUCCUGAGAACCAGGCUGGAAGAAACACCCUUCCCUGUGGCACCACAACACCUACACCGAGGUGUCUGUGCUGCCUGGAAAGCACAGCGGGUCUCCCCAGUGCUGGAGUCAUCCGGAGAGCCAAGCACCUUCCAGGGGGGCCUUGAAGUGGGGGCGCCGGCCCCCCAGGGUGCCCAGGCCAGACCGCCUCCUCUCAGGUGGUUCAGCAAGAGCUUCCUUCUGCCUCAGAUCCUUCCAGGGUGUGGACUUUCUUUUCCUAUGAUUCUUUUCUGACUUCACCUUACGUUACUCCUCUCCAUACCUAGACGAGCUGGAGGUCAGAAGUCCGAAAUGAGUUUCACUGAGCCAAAGCCAGGGAGUCAGCGGGGCUGGUCCCUCUGGAGGCUGCAGAACACCUGCUCUGCACCUCCUCCGACCUCUGCAGCUACUCGGCACCCAGGACAGCUGUGCGGCCUCUGCUGUGUCUGAGCUGCUGUUGUUCCAUGGCCCUCUCUGUGAGCUUGCUGCCUCCCUCUCAUAAGUCAUCUGGAUGACCCAGAACAACCUCCCAAUCUCUAGACACUUAUCCUGACUCCAUCCAUAGAGCGCCUGCUGCAUGUAAGGUAACGUGCACACGGGUUUGUGGGAUUAGGAUGUGCACACCUUUGGGGGCCUGAUGUAGCUGACCAUGCCCACAUCUGGUGGGAACCCACCUUCAGGGUUUCUUCUCCUUGGACACAGGCUACAGCCCAAGCCAAAUGUCCCAGAGCCUGGAGCAGGGCCCCCCUCCCCCACUUUCCCCAAAGAGGCUGGCGUGGGAACAAAGCCCCUGUGUGGUCAGGAGCUGGGAGGGCAAGACGACAGGACAACAGGACAAGAGGACAACAGAACAACAGGGCAACAGGGCUACAGCCAUCCCAGCUGGAGAAGAUUCUCAGGGCUGAGGUGGAGGAGGUCGGGCCUCAGCCGGGCUCAGAGUGGACCUGCUGGCCCUCCUGUCACAGGAGGGAGGGGCGGUGGGACGGGAAGAGAGGGCCUUGAGAUCAAGCCGUGCCCUGCUGAAGCCUGGCAGAGGGGCUGUGCCUCUGGGCAGCUGGUGUGAGCUGUCGUCUCGUGCAGCUGGUCUAGGAUGGGGCAGAGGCUCUGCCUUGACCUCUCCCACCCCUGGUGCCGUUUGCCCCUCCACUCCAGGUGAGCACAGCUGGAGCAGCAGCUACCUCGAGGACUGGUGGCCUUUGAGGUUUUCCCGAUGGACUUUUCAGGCUUCUACCAGCAGGGCCCCAUGACUGCACUGCCUCCUGGGAGCUGCUACUGGGAGAGGCAGCGGUACAAUCCCCCCUGCCUAGAGUCGACAAGGGGCUUCCCCCACUGAGCUGAGACAAGGCCUUCUGUCUGCAUCAUGAAGCUGCGAUCGCAGCUUCCUACAGCUAUGAAACUCCCAGCUCAACCCACCCAGACUCAGUUCUGUUCCCUGAGACCUUCGGUCACAAUGGCACACCUCGCCUGGGGUGGAACCUCCUGCUGUUUACAGCGAUGAGCCCAGGGUGAGCAGAGACAAAGCACCAAGACACGCUCGUCAGAGAAGGGCUGGGCAGGACAGACACAGGCGGACAGGGUGGCCAGAGAGGCUGUGAGAAACGGGCAAAACAGAGGGGGUGCAUUUAUCAUCCCUUCCUCAGCACCUGACGCCAGGCAGGCCCUGUGCCUCCCCAGUCCAACUCUUCCAGGCAUGGCAGAUGCUUGAUAAUUCCUGCGACUGACCCAAAGGCUUCACAGGUCAGAUUCCAGCCAGGCCGAGCCUGUGAAAAGACUUUCUUCAGAAAGUCCAGACCAUGGUGAUCAUGGCCAUUACGGCUGGAAAUGUUGGAAGACCUGCAGGGCACUGGGCUUGUACCUUGGCCUCUUGGACAUGCCCCCUCCUCCCUCGUCUCUCCCCAGGGAGAGUCAGUGAUGGUUCACCUGGUGCCAGGCUGUUCCCCAUCCAGCAGGAGCCAUUAGGGAGGAGCAGGUGGGCUGGGCCCCACAGACUGAGAGAGUCAGGUCCCCAGC